rnacentral:rRNA from 1 species
UACGUAGGGGCCUAGCGUUGUCCGGAAUUACUGGGCGUAAAGAGCUCGUAGGUGGUUUGUCGCGUUGUUCGUGAAAACUCACAGCUCAACUGUGGGCGUGCGGGCGAUACGGGCAGACUGGAGUACUGCAGGGGAGACUGGAAUUCCUGGUGUAGCGGUGGAAUGCGCAGAUAUCAGGAGGAACACCGGUGGCGAAGGCGGGUCUCUGGGCAGUAACUGACGCUGAGGAGCGAAGGCGUGGGGAGCGAACAGG